rnacentral:lncRNA from 1 species
UCCUGCUCGCCCCCUCCUCCUCGGUGCGAGCUCGGCACCUCUCUGAUGCGGAGGCCGCGCCCAGGGACAGCAGCGCCAUGCGCCACCGACAUCUCUCCCCGCCGAGCAUGGCUCUGUGUGUGCUGCUCCAUUCAUCACCGUCGAGUCCUCGAAGGCUGCCCCCUUCCUUCCUCUCCACCACCUCCCUCCUCCACCUCCCAUUUGACGCCCUUGUCUGGUUUUGGACAGCAGCCGCAGCCACAUGCAGCAGCGGCAAAUCUGCUAUGCGUGCACAUUCCAGAGAUAGAAGAAGAUAACUCUCUGAGCCAAUGACAGGUGGGCCCAAGGCGAGAUGUGAGUACACAAUUUGCAGAUUUUUGUGUUGUGUUCAAAAAUUCAUAUCUUGAGUUUUAGAGCUCCUAAAAUUGUGAAAUUUGUUUUGUUGGCUUCCUUAUGAAAUGCUCUAACUAUUGGAUCUAUAUGUUGGUAUGUUUUAGUGGAAAAGUUUUUCUGUAGAAAUUCGUAUUUAAAACUAGUUUAAAAAAUAAAUGAACGUGCUUCUCUCUGUAGUUUUAUUUAUAAAAAUCCAAAAAUGAUGAAACUUAUUUUUUUUGUUAGAUGUUGUCAUACUCCAUCUAAGAAAAAUAUAAAACUUAUAUGUUGUUUACUGUUUUCUUGGUGUGUUAAUUAAAACAAGUUAAAUAGAGAAAAGAAUAUUGAUUUUCUUGUUAUUUUUGGAUCUGUAGCUCUAUUGCUCCAAAUGAAUUCAAAAUUUUACAGUAGACUCUUGGUGUCAUGCCUGGUGACUGGUAGAAAUAUCAUCAAUUUUGGUGCAUGUAUGAUUAUGUUAGUUAUUUAACUUGUUUGAUGCAUAUUUUGUAGUUUUAAAUAGUCUAAAUAUAAUGUAUAGAUGUAAAAAUGGAAAAUGGUGUUCCACUGUACUUGCAUGAUAUUAUAGUAGCCUAAGAAAAUUUAAUAUAGUCAUGCAUCCACAGAAAAUAAUUAGUUUUAGAUUUAACUUGCUCUCACAUGCUUUAUUGCAUUAACAAUUUGUUAUUUUUGUAGUAAAUACUAUAUAAAAUCUGAGCAUGUGAAAUUUAUACAUUAUUCAUCAUCUGUCAUUACCUAUGCCUCAUAAAAAUUCCAUCCCAAAUUAGAUAGUUUCGUAUGGUGCUAAAUUAACAUCCAUUUUAUAAUUACAAGACUUAGUGAAAAAUUAGGAGUAAACGAAAUCAUGCAUGUUCAUGGAAUUCUUGGGUUACACCUUAAAACCAAUUAGAGGUUAAAUGGUUAUAUCAUGGUGGUCUAAAGCUAAAUAUUAGUAGUGCUUCAUCAUAAUUUUGUGUGAUGUCGGACAUGUGUGCCGAAGUGCUUUAUUUUGGGGAAUGCGUUUGUUAAUUGUGUGGUAAUUCUAGCGCACGAAAUGACUUGGAUAAAAUUUAUAAGUCGACUUGUUGGUCCUCUUUUGUUUGUUUUCACUCUAACCAAUGGUAAAGUGUUAGGGCAAUUCAAGUCUCUAGAACAUGACAAUUCUUGAAGUAAAUAGGAGCUAAAAUUUAUUAGUUGUUGUAUUAGGCUGCGCGCACUAUUUUUUCUGUGCUGUGGCCUACGUGUUUAAUGAACUAAAUCAUGUUUUCUGUAGAAAACGUCAUGUAGAAGAGUUGUAGAUAACUUUAUUAACUUAUUUGUGUUAAAAUCUGACCGUCAUAAACCUGAUCGAUUAGAAGUUAUGCUUUUUAUAAGUUCAGUAACUGAAUAUGUCCAAUUUCGGUACAUAUUUCAGAGAUUGCAUUGUUUGUUUAAGUUUAGUUUAGAAUCAGUCGUUGUCAAUUAUAAGGAAGUUGUAGAUAAUUUCAUUAUCUUGCUUGUGUUAAAUGUUCAUGACAAUAAACCUGAUAGUUUGAGAGUUAUAAAUUUUAUAAGAUGAUUGUUGUAUUCUAUCCACUGCCUGAACAAAUUUCGAAAACUAUAUUGUUUGAUUUGGUUAAAUAUAGAAUCACUUCUUGGUGAUUAUAUAAGUUAUGUAGUGCUUUUACUAAGCUUUCCGAAAAGUCUUAGAUCAUUCUUUUUGGUGGUCUAGAGCUCAGGUUAUAGAUGUUUAAAGUGUGAAGACUGAAUCUAUCCAAAUCUGGACAGCAAAGCCUUCUAGUGUCUUUUAUCCUAAAUUGCAUAUUGAAUCACCUUGAGAUGUCCAUAAAUGAUUUGUAGAUAAUUUCAUUAUCUUUUCAGAAAGUCUAGGUUCACUUUGUUUGGAUGUCUAAAUCUCUAGUUAUGAAUUUUUGAAUUCGCAAGUCUGAAUCUGUCCAAAUCUGAAUAAAGCUGUCGUUUAUCACUAUUUAACCUUGUUAAGUGUCUAAUCACCUUGAGAUGACAAUACCAAAGUUGUAAAGACUUUUUAGACUUUCCAAAAAGUCUUUGAUCACUAUUUUAGAUGAAUAUCUUGUGAGUUACGACUGAAACAAGUAAAUGUUGUGCUGCUGUCCUAAUCUUGUUGAUUGUGAUUGAUUGCUCUACUCUCUUAUCUUGCUUGAGUAUGAUUGAUAGUGUUAUCUCAUGAUCCCUAUAUUAGUAGAUUAUAUAAUUGGAGAUAGACAAGUAACUAGUGCAGUAGUAAAUUAAAUGGUUGACGUCUAGUAAGAAAUUAGCUUCGAUCAACAUCAAUUUAGCAAGUGUCACUAUAUGGGCGAGAAACAAAAUUAAUGAUAUGUUACCAUUUCUAAUAAUUGUGCUGCUAAUCUGAGUAUUACUAAAUAACCAACCUCAAUAGAUUACUAUAAUAAGCAGUGUGAUUAGGCUAUCACUUUCUUGUGUGCCCUUGGAUGUAUGCUUGCAUUAGAGUAUUGCGAACAAUUAUAAAACCCGAUUAAGUGACUAUUCCUUUUUAACUAUGUUUGUCUAUAUAUAAGUCCUAGCAAAUUGAUGUGUACUUAACUAGUAUAAUAAUAAAGGAACCAAUAAAAAAUUAGAGCGAAUGUGAUAAAUUCUUGCACGUGUGAUGCCGUGUUGCGCUGAUUAAUUCUAGAAAGUAAUUGUCGUCUUUCUAAUGAUAUUGAUUAUGUAUGCCCGAUGACGUGUAGAUAACUAAUGCUAGCGUGUGGUUGUUUACCGUGUAUUUGUAUAUCUUGUGAUAUUUUUUAUUAUAUUCAUACAUAUGCAUCUUGCAUCUCAUUUAGGACCGAGAGAUGAUGAUCGUGCAAGUGAUGUGGUGCCAACUACAAGAUGCAGUUGGUGGACGACCCAAAGAAGGAUGGACUUAACAGUGGAUGCUCGCCAAGCGAGUGUCAUCUAGAAAACACUAUCUAGUGUUGAAUUCCAGGCAAGCCCCGGUUUUAU